UUUUGGACAAUGGGGGCAACCCUGAUCCAGCAAUGCCGCGUGAGUGAAGAAGGCCUUCGGGUUGUAAAGCUCUUUUGUCAGGGAAGAAACAGCAGCUCUAACACAGUUGUGAAUGACGGUACCUGAAGAAUAAGCACCGGCUAACUACGUGCCAGCAGCCGCGGUAAUACGUAGGGUGCAAGCGUUAAUCGGAAUUACUGGGCGUAAAGCGUGCGCAGGCGGUUAUACAAGACAGGCGUGAAAUCCCCGGGCUCAACCUGGGAAUUGCGUCUGUGACUGUAUAGCUAGAGUGUGUCAGAGGGGGGUAGAAUUCCACGUGUAGCAGUGAAAUGCGUAGAUAUGUGGAGGAAUACCAAUGGCGAAGGCAGCCCCCUGGGAUAACACUGACGCUCAUGCACGAA
rnacentral:rRNA from 1 species